UACGUAGGUGGCAAGCGUUGUCCGGAUUUACUGGGCGUAAAGAGCGUGCAGGCGGUCGCUCAAGUCGCGUGUGAAAGCCCCCGGCUCAACUGGGGAGGGUCACGCGAUACUGAUCGACUGGAAGGCAGGAGAGGGUAGUGGAAUUCCCGGUGUAGUGGUGAAAUGCGUAGAUAUCGGGAGGAACACCAGUGGCGAAGGCGACUACCUGGCCUGUUCUUGACGCUGAGGCGCGAAAGCUAGGGGAGCAAACGGG
rnacentral:rRNA from 1 species